GUCCGUAUGCGAGAAUCUAAUACUUUCUAGUUUUUUAUUUACCUUUGAUUUUUUUUUUAAAUUGUCUGAAAGAAAAUUUUGGUAUUUGUUUGUUUUGUUAUUAUACUUAUCAUCCUUUAUUUGUCUUCAGGACUAAUAUACGGAACGGCAUGGCUUUAAUAUGAAAGAUAAGUUAUUUCCUGAUACUAUAUCUCGUUUUUCAUAAUAUAUAUUUUGUUUCCCUAUCAAAUGUGGCAUAGUUUAAAUUUAUUAAUAUGCUUUUUAAUUUUUAAUUGGACAGAUACAUGUAUUCACCUUGUUUGAUGAAAAUAGCUGAACACGUGACUAAAUCCUCCUGUAAGAGUAAUUUGGAAGUUCUGGAUGUUGCGCCACACUCCCAACCGGAAGAAUUUGGAAGUUCCGGAUGUUGCGCCACACUCCCAACCGGAAGAAGCCUUCCUUUGCUCUCCCAGGUAUAGAGCGUGAUUAUCAAGAUGAUUCUGAUGGGUGAACAUCCAUUCUGAUUGGCAUAAAAAUGCAUGGGCCUACUCAGAAUUGGGAAUUUGUUUGACUUUAAAUUGAUGUCGUUAUAGAUAAGUCAUUAAAACAAAAAGAAUUCUGAUUGGUUGACUAA